rnacentral:tRNA from 1 species
GUUGUAGCUCAGUGGUAGAGCGCUUGCCUAGCAUAUACAAGGUACUGGGUUCAAUCCCCAGCAUAACA